UGGCUCAGUGGUAGAGUGCUAUGCCUAGCAUGCAUGAGGCCCUGGGUUCAAACCCCAG
rnacentral:tRNA from 1 species